rnacentral:rRNA from 1 species
ACACUGGGGGAUAACAGUUAGAAAUGACUGCUAAUACCGCAUAAGCGCACAGUACCGCAUGGUACGGUGUGAAAAACUCCGGUGGUGUGAGAUGGAUCCGCGUCUGAUUAGCCAGUUGGCGGGGUAACGGCCCACCAAAGCGACGAUCAGUAGCCGACCUGAGAGGGUGACCGGCCACAUUGGGACUGAGACACGGCCCAAACUCCUACGGGAGGCAGCAGUGGGGAAUAUUGCACAAUGGGCGAAAGCCUGAUGCAGCGACGCCGCGUGAGUGAAGAAGUAUUUCGGUAUGUAAAGCUCUAUCAGCAGGGAAGAAAAUGACGGUACCUGACUAAGAAGCCCCGGCUAACUACGUGCCAGCAGCCGCGGUAAUACGUAGGGGGCAAGCGUUAUCCGGAUUUACUGGGUGUAAAGGGAGCGUAGACGGCGAAGCAAGUCUGAAGUGAAAACCCAGGGCUCAACCCUGGGACUGCUUUGGAAACUGUUUUGCUAGAGUGUCGGAGAGGUAAGUGGAUUCCUAGUGUAGCGGUGAAUGCGUAGAUAUUAGGAGGAACACCAGUGGCGAAGGCGGCUUACUGGACGAU